GAGUUUGAUCGUGGCUCAGAUUGAACGCUGGCGGCAUGCCUUACACAUGCAAGUCGAACGGCAGCACGGGAGCUUGCUCCUGGUGGCGAGUGGCGAACGGGUGAGUAAUGCAUCGGAACGUAUCCUGGAGUGGGGGAUAACGUAGCGAAAGUUACGCUAAUACCGCAUAUUCAGUGAGCAGGAAAGCGGGGGACCUUCGGGCCUCGCGCUCUUGGAGCGGCCGAUGUCGGAUUAGCUAGUUGGUGAGGUAAAGGCUCACCAAGGCGACGAUCCGUAGCAGGUCUGAGAGGAUGAUCUGCCACACUGGAACUGAGACACGGUCCAGACUCCUACGGGAGGCAGCAGUGGGAUUUUGGACAAUGGGGCAACCCUGAUCCAGCCAUGCCGCGUGAGUGAAG
rnacentral:rRNA from 1 species